rnacentral:hammerhead_ribozyme from 1 species
GCACUACUGAGGAGUCCCACAACAGGACGAAACGGCCGUUCAGUGC